rnacentral:rRNA from 1 species
CAGGCCUAACACAUGCAAGUCGAACGGUAACAGGUCUUCGGAUGCUGACGAGUGGCGAACGGGUGAGUAAUACAUCGGAACGUGCCCGAUCGUGGGGGAUAACGAAGCGAAAGCUUUGCUAAUACCGCAUAAGAUCUACGGAUGAAAGCAGGGGACCGCAAGGCCUUGCGCGAACGGAGCGGCCGAUGGCAGAUUAGGUAGUUGGUGGGAUAAAAGCUUACCAAGCCGACGAUCUGUAGCUGGUCUGAGAGGACGACCAGCCACACUGGGACUGAGACACGGCCCAGACUCCUACGGGAGGCAGCAGUGGGGAAUUUUGGACAAUGGGCGAAAGCCUGAUCCAGCCAUGCCGCGUGCAGGAUGAAGGCCUUCGGGUUGUAAACUGCUUUUGUACGGAACGAAAAGACUCUGGUUAAUACCUGGGGUCCAUGACGGUACCGUAAGAAUAAGCACCGGCUAACUACGUGCCAGCAGCCGCGGUAAUAC